rnacentral:tRNA from 1 species
GGGAGUGUAGUUCAAUGGUAGAGCACUUGCCUAGAUGUGCAAGACCCUGGGUUCCAACCCCUAGUACUGCCA